CAGAUCAGGUAGGAUUACCCGCUGAACUUAA
rnacentral:rRNA from 1 species